GUCAGCAGCCGCGGUAACACCGGCGGCCCGAGUGGUGAUCGUGAUUAUUGGGUCUAAAGGGUCCGUAGCCGGUUUGGUCAGUCCUCCGGGAAAUCUGAUAGCUCAACUAUUAGGCUUUCGGGGGAUACUGCCAGACUUGGAACCGGGAGAGGUAAGAGGUACUACAGGGGUAGGAGUGAAAUCUUGUAAUCCCUGUGGGACCACCUGUGGCGAAGGCGUCUUACCAGAACGGGUUCGACGGUGAGGGACGAAAGCUGGGGGCACGAACCGGAUUAGAUACCCGGGUAGUCCCAGCCGUAAACGAUGCUCGCUAGGUGUCAGGCAUGGCGCGACCGUGUCUGGUGCCGCAGGGAAGCCGUGAAGCGAGCCACCUGGGAAGUACGGCCGCAAGGCUGAAACUUAAAGGGAUUGGCGGGGGAGCACAACAACGGGUGGAAGCCUGCGGUUUAAUUGGACUCAACGCCGGACAACUCACCGGGGGCGACAGCAAUAUGUAGGCCAAGCUGAAGACUUUGCCUGAAUCGCUGAGAAGAGGUGCAUGG
rnacentral:rRNA from 1 species